GUGUCCCUGGGCCGGACCGGGUCGUGGGACUGGGUCGCCCCAGGCAGGAGAGCCUGGGAGGGGCGGGCCCCCUCGGCGUGGCAGGGAGAGGUGGAGUGAGGGACUCCCGGGCUCCAGCAUGAGGGCGGGCGCCGCGCGGGGCCGACAGUUGCCGCGGGCCGGGGCCAAUGGGUCCCCGAGCGCCGCCAGCGGCCGGACCACAGUGAGGUGCGUCCGUGGUCCCGGCGCCCCGGGUGAGGGAGGGCUGCUGCCGGUCCUGCCGCUGGGAGCCGCCUGCGACCCGCACCGCCAGCCCCGCGCCCAGCCAGCCGCCGGCACCACGACCCGACGGCCCCGACCUAAUGUAACGCCCCGGGCCGGGGGCGGAAAUCUCCCACCCCCAAGACUCCUGAUGGAGUAGGGUUUGAGCGGCUCGUUCCCCAUUUUACUGUGUACAUAGCACCUUUCACUCUGAUGAUGUUCUGGAUAGCCCAUUCCGCGAGCAAAGGGACUUCGUCAGGUUCAUGGCUAGAUCCAGGGUCCUAGAGUGCCUGGGGCGGAGGAGGCUCGUGCUAAAUAAUUUGCUCAGUGGAAUCACAGAGACCUGGCUUCAGAUCUUGGCCCACCAAUUAAUGUAGACAUGUCAUUUUAUCUUUCUGAGUCUCAAUUUCGUAUCCCUAAAAUUGAAAUUAUAAUAAUAGUAAUUAAUAAUAAUAGCAAACUCAAAGGUUUUCUGUUGGUGUAUUCUUUUCUUUUUUGGGUCAAAUGAGCAAAUGCAUGUUUAAGUGCUUACUGCAAUACCUGACACAUAAAUGCCAAAUAAAUGGUAGUAUAUGAUGUGAGUAUAGCUAGGGAUUUACAUAGCCUAGUCUCCGUAAUGAGCAUACAGGGGGAAAAAAAACCCCAAACAAUUGAAUGCAGUUACAGGAUGGGUGGGGGAGUAGAUUAUUAAUGAGCUGCAAACAUCCUAAAAACCCCCUUUCCCCAUCAGUCUUCACAGACUGCAACACCCCAACCAAAAUGUCUUCCCCAUUCUCUGCUUCGUCCCAGAAAAUGAUGUGAACUUGGCUGCUUGGCCCUGUCUUCACCCGGCCAUAUCCUCAGUCAUUUUUCUUUCCAAAACCAAUCCUUGCCAUUUCCAAGUUGAAUUUGUCAGACCUUGCACGUUUUUCCGGCCUUUUCAAAACUGGAUCCCAAUUCUCUGUAACCAAAUCCAGUACCAGAACUGGCUGACUCAGAAUUUACCUUAGAUGGAAGAUAGGGUAGGAAUUUUGGAAGAAGGAUGACCUUACAGAUCAAGACAGACAAUUGCAGGGUACUAAUUUUAUGUCUUUUUUCUUAACUCUGUCAGGUUAAUUGUUAAUUAUUAUAAUCACAAUCAUGAGGUGGGAGGGUGUGAAGGCCACUGGGAAAAGUAUCUUAUGCACAAAAAUUUCAGGCUCUGAACUGUUAAAAAACAGUUGCCCACAGUGAGCCGGACCCUUUUGAUGCCCUUCAACAAUCACUGGAUAAUUCAUCACGUUGUGCUCAAGGCCCACUACUGAAAAAAUAAAGCAAACCUAGAUGCUCCACCUAGUCAUUUCUUUCCAGAUGGAGGCCCAGAUAAGGUCAUAAUUCCUUCAGAGUCACCCAGUAGAGCUGAGAUGACAACCUCCGUGUUCAGGCUCCUGGACUCUACCCCUCUCUUACAUGGAAACACUCACAUCCAUAUACCAUGAAUACAUGCUGAGAAACUGAAGGAUCCACUCCUUGAAGUUACUAUGGUUCAAACAUUUCUUUUCUCUCAGGAUUGAUGAAAUGAAAACUGGACAUUUGACAUUUGAACCUCUCUCCUGUGUUUGGAAAACUCUCCAUCAAUGUGAUACAAUGGUGGAAAGCGGGGUCUAGGCUCAAUGGAACAGAUGGAGUCUCGCUCUGUUGCCCAAGCUGGAGUGCAGUGGCGGGAUCUCGGCUCACUGCAACCUUUGCCUCCCGGAUUCCAGCGAUUCUUGUGCCUCAGCCUCACAAGUAGUGAUGAGCCCUCCUCUUCAGCUAGGAAAAUGACGGUGUUCAGAAAGUUAAAACUUCUUCUCUGGAAGGAUUUCAUCUUAAAGUUGGGAGACUGGAAGAAAUUAAAGUGUUCUAAAUGGAAGAGCAUUCACCACAUGUGUUCUGUUUUGGGUUGACAUUUAGCUUUUGUUUUUAUUUUAGAAACGGAAGACUCUGGUAGCAAUCCUUGAAAUCUUGAUGCCAUUGCUAUUUUCUGCAUUGUAUUGUAUCUUCGUUUUAGUAGUGCUCCAAUAAAAAGACCUGCCACUAGCUGCCAUGCAAUU